GGGGCAGCAUGAACUUAGCUUGCUAAGUUUGAUGGCGACCGGCGCACGGGUGAGUAACACGUAUCCAACCUGCCGAUGACUCGGGGAUAGCCUUUCGAAAGAAAGGUUAAUACCCGAUGGCAUAGUUCUUCCGCAUGGUAGAACUAUUAAAGAAUUUCGGUCAUCGAUGGGGAUGCGUUCCAUUAGGUUGUUGGCGGGGUAACGGCCCACCAAGCCUUCGAUGGAUAGGGGUUCUGAGAGGAAGGUCCCCCACAUUGGAACUGAGACACGGUCCAAACUCCUACGGGAGGCAGCAGUGAGGAAUAUUGGUCAAUGGACGAGAGUCUGAACCAGCCAAGUAGCGUGAAGGAUGACUGCCCUAUGGGUUGUAAACUUCUUUUAUACGGGAAUAAAGUGAGGCACGUGUGCCUUUUUGUAUGUACCGUAUGAAUAAGGAUCGGCUAACUCCGUGCCAGCAGCCGCGGUAAUACGGAGGAUCCGAGCGUUAUCCGGAUUUAUUGGGUUUAAAGGGAGCGUAGGCGGACGCUUAAGUCAGUUGUGAAAGUUUGCGGCUCAACCGUAAAAUUGCAGUUGAUACUGGGUGUCUUGAGUACAGUAGAGGCAGGCGGAAUUCGUGGUGUAGCGG
rnacentral:rRNA from 1 species